rnacentral:rRNA from 1 species
AUAAGACCACAACGUCACAUGGCGAAGGGGUCAAAGGAGCAAUCCGGUGAAGGGUGGGCUCGCGUCCGAUUAGAUAGUUGGUGAGGUAACGGCCCACCAAGUCGACGAUCGGUAGCCGACCUGAGAGGGUGAUCGGCCACAUUGGGACUGAGACACGGCCCAGACUCCUACGGGAGGCAGCAGUGGGGAAUAUUGGGCAAUGGGGGAAACCCUGACCCAGCAACGCCGCGUGGAGGAAGAAGGUCUUCGGAUCGUAAACUCCUGUCCUAAGAGACGAGCAGGAGACGGUAUCUUAGGAGGAAGCCCCGGCUAACUACGUGCCAGCAGCCGCGGUAAUACGUAGGGGGCAAGCGUUGUCCGGAAUGAUUGGGCGUAAAGGGCGCGUAGGCGGCCUUUCAAGUCUGAAGUGAAAUUCCCGUUUUUAAGAUGGGAACUGCUUUGGAAACUGUAAGGCUUGAGUGCAGGAGAGGUCAGUGGAAUUCCCAGUGUAGCGGUGAAAUGCGUAGAGAUUGGGAGGAACACCAGUGGCGAAGGCGACUGACUGGACUGUAACUGACGCUGAGGCGCGAAAGUGUGGGGA